CAAUAGCGUAUAUUAAAGCUGUUGCGGUUAAAAAGCACGUAGUUGGAUUUCUGUCAAGGACAACUGGUCCGCCCUCCGGGUGAGCACAUAGUUUGGUCUUGACAUCUUGCUGGAAGCUGUUGCUGCACUUGGCUGUGUGGCGCAGUGUUCAGCACUUUCACUUUGAGGAAAUUGGAGUGUUUCAAGCAGGCACAUGCCUUUGGACACAGUAGCAUGGAAUAAUUAGAUUGGGCUUUUGCUCCAAUUUGUCGGUUUCUGGAGCUGAGGUGAGUAUUAAUGGGGAUUGUUGGGGGCAUCCGAAUUUAGCCGUCAGAGGUGAAAUUCUUGGAUCUGCUAAAGACGGACAACUGCGAAAGCGUUUGCCCAGGAUGUUUUCAUUGA
rnacentral:rRNA from 1 species